rnacentral:rRNA from 1 species
AGAUUGAACGCUGGCGGCAUGCCUUACACAUGCAAGUCGAACGGUAGAGUAGCAAUACUCGAGAGUGGCGAACGGGUGAGUAAUAUAUCGGAACGUGCCCAGUCGUGGGGGGAUAACGUAGAGAAAUUUACGCUAAUACCGCAUACGAUCUACGGAUGAAAGCGGGGGAUUCGCAAGAACCUCGCGCGAUUGGAGCGGCCGAUGUCAGAUUAGCUAGUUGGUGGGGUAAAGGCCCACCAAGGCGACGAUCUGUAGCUGGUCUGAGAGGACGACCAGCCACACUAGGAACUGAGACACGGUCCAGACUCCGUACGGGAGGCAGCAGGUGGGGUAAUUUUGGACAAGUGGGCGACAAGGCCUGACUCCAGACAAUGCCGCGGUGCGAAGGGAAAGGAACGG